rnacentral:rRNA from 1 species
CAGCCGCGGUAAUUCCAGCUCUCAAAAUGCAUAGAAUUAUUGCUGCGGUUAAAAAGCUCGUAGUUGGAUCUGUGCCAGCAUGCCGGUCCAUCUUCGGAUGCGUACUGGUUCAUUGCCGGCUUUCCUGCAGUUUUGUCCGGCUCUGUGCCCUUCACUGGGCGCGGUUGUUCGGUGCUGCAAGUUUACUUUGAACAAAUCAGAGUGCUCUAAACAGGCGUUUCGCUUGAAUGUUCGUGCAUGGAAUAAUAGAAGAGGAUUUCGGUUCUAUUUUAUUGGUUUUAUAGACUGAGAUAAUGGUUAACAGAGACAAACGGGGGCAUUCGUAUUGCUACGUGAGAGGUGAAAUUCUUGGACCGUAGCAAGACGAACUACAGCGAAAGCAUUUGCCAAGAAUGUCUUCAUUAAUCAAGAACGAAAGUCAGAGGUUCGAAGGCGAUCAGAUACCGCCCUAGUUCUAACCGUAAA